UUUUUUAAUGAUUAAUUUGCCCUGAGGACUUGGUAUGCAUUCGCGGCCAGUACAGUUACUGGAAAAGUCUGUUAACGUGUCUGGGGAUGGAGCGCAAAUCCUCCAGAGACAUCUCCGUGAAGCUCUCCUGGAGGUACUCCAAAAGCCUUUGCAGAAGAUUUCUGGGCAGGGCAGCCUUAUUCUGUCCUCCAUGGUAGGACACUUGACCAUGCCAUGCACAUAGCAAUUAAUCUGGUAUCUUUGCAUGACAAAGCCUAGCUGCGAAUGGUCCCGGUGUUUGCUGGCAUUGAAGCAACAUCCGUUCUUUAUCUCACUGUGUUAUCCUCAGGAGAGUGAUAUCAUUCAUGGUAACCUGGUUGAAAUUCCGGAAUUUAAUUAAGAGGACAGAGAUGACCAUUCCUACUGGGCUGUUCGCCUGUUGCUUAAAAGAAAUCCUUCCUUGCAGCUGCAAAUUUUUCAAGCCUCUCUACUCCAUCCCAAAGGCUAUCUUAGAUAAGGCGGCGGAAAAAGAAGACGCGAGAUGAAAUGUUCUCGGAAAUCAUGGAAGUGACCCACAAUGAAAGUGCUCAUCUAAAUGAGUGGAAGGACAUAGUAUCAAAUUACAGGAAAGAUGUCAGUGAACGUGAGGACAAGAAGGACGCUCGAGAUGAGAGGUGGCGGCAGGAAGAUCAGCGGUGGCAGGAUGCAACUCGGGGGCUGCUGCGUGAUCAAACUGACAUGCUCCAGCAUCUGGUGGAGCUUCAGGAACAGCAGCAGGGUCACAGAGUGCCACUGCAGCCCCUGUGUAACCACCCUCACACCUUAUCAUGUUCCACAUCCUCCUCACCCAGAUGUGUAAGAACGCGUGGGGGCAGGCUCCGUGCACCCGCCCACUCCACCCCCGUGGACAGCCCAACCAAAAGGCUGUCAUUACUCUGAAAUUUUUUUAGUGGCCUUUUCCUUCCCUCCUAUCCUCCUCCCAAACCACACCCGGGCUACCUUGUCAGUUCUCUCCCUCUUUUUAUAAUGAAUUAAUAAAGAAUACAUGAUUUUUAAA